AGAUACCGCAUGGGGCACACUUAGGCUGAAACUUACUGGUUGUCUGAAAUUCAGAUUUACCUGAAUUAUUCAGAUUUAUCCGAUUUAUUCUGAAUUAAACACAGAGUUUAUUCUGCAUUAUCUGGUAACCCUGCCCCUGCCAGCUGGCGAGAUGACGGGGUGACAGACACACCCACACUCCACCCGAAAGAUCUAACUUAAUCCUUAUCAAAAUCUAUGAAUCGGGGAUAUUAUCUCUGUUUUAAAAUUGUAAAUACAGAAACUCAGAGACGUGAAGAGACUUGCUCAAGGUUGCUCAGCUAGUGAUGGCUAAACUAGAAGCAGAAAAUAAAGGUUUUUUCCAAUGUUUGGUAUUAAAAAUAUCAAGUAAGGUGAACAAUUUACAGAAGAGUCUGUAGAAGUCAUUUUAAAUUCGACCUCUAAGAAACGACCGUUGUUAAAUUGUUAAACCUUGCUCCGGACAUCCUGCUCGGCAGGUGUGACGUGGAGAGGACGGUGCAAGUCACUGGAAAGCCGACAGGGAUAAGCCUGCCAGGCUUCACCCUAACACCAAACUUCAAAUUUAUCUCAUCUGGGUUUAAACGGAAGGAACUGGUGAGUUUCAGGAACUGUUUCUUCACUACGAAGGCGACUGGCUCUGAACGGAGCUCUCCAGACUGAAGGACACAGAUACGAGAGCGCACGGGGAUGGUGGUCCUGUCUCUGCCGCUGUGGUGGAGGCCCCCCGAGUCCACGUGCACACAGGGUCGGGCACCCUCCCCGCUUCUUCCUCGCUCUGCUUCCCGAAUGUGCGGGUCCGGGGCUUUGGCCCAGCUCGUGUUCCCUGAAGUAGAAUGUGCGCUGACAAGCGCCUCUGAUGCCACCAUCUGAACCACCCUGUGACCCACAUGCAGAUGGAGGUGACCAUCCUCAGGUCCUGUCCCCGAGCUCCCCUCAUUCCUCCUCCCUCCCACACCCCCACCCGAGGAUACUGGAGAUUUGUCUCUUGGGCUUUGGUGUUUCUGGAAGUGGAGCCUCCCAUGUGAGGUCCCUGGCGUCUGCGUACUCAGUGCAGUGAGAGGUCUGAGGGGGGCUCCUGUCUUGUCUGCGUCAUCCAGCGGGCGGACACCCCUCAUUCAUUCACCCGAGUUACUACUGAUGGAAGGGCUUCGGCUUUCGGCUUCUGUGUUGCCCUGAGCAUUCUAGUAGGUGUUUGGGGACACGCACACACUCAUUUCUGCUGGAUAAGUCUUAGGUGUGUAUCUGCGUGUGUUCGACUUUCACAGACGCUGCCCGACACGUUUCCAAAGCGGCUGUGCCAGCGUUCACAGUCACCAGCGAAGCGCGCGAGCUCCAACUACUCUAAUCCUUGCUGAUAACAGGAAGGUUUCGUGUUUUCCGUGUUGGUCCUUCUGUGGGUUUGUGGUAUGAUGUUGGGCUUUUAAUCUGCUUUUCCAUGCUGGUUAGUGAAACGGGCACCGUUACACGUUUGCGGAUCUCUGGACGCUCCUCCUUUGUGAUGUUCAAGUCUGUUUGACCAUUUUCCUGUGGAGUUGUCUGUCUUUUUCUUUUUGAUUUGUAGGAGUUCUUUAGAUAUCUGUACAUUCCGGACGUAAGUCUUGGAUGCUUUGUUGCACGUUCGUAUUGCAAACGCCUGCCGCUUGCUCUUUCUGCUCUGGUUGUGGUGUCCGCAGUUUUCCUCGUGUUUCAAGCUCGGUGAAGUGUUGAGAGCGCUGUCGUGCACGUGUGUCUUUGCUUCAGUUUGUGCACAGAUGUCGUCCUGUCCGGACUUCUUCACGUCUUCCUACAGUUUCCCAUCCACGCCUGGAUCAUUUCCUUUAGCGUCUCUUCCGGUAUUCCUCUUAGCAAAGGGCCAGGGAAGACAGGUUCUCUGUGUCUCACCUUCUUCUCGGGAUGGUGUUUUUGGCUGAUCUUUCCCCCACUGUGUGCUCGCUGAGGAGCUCUUCCUUUGUCUUCUGGCUUCUCCUGGGUGUUGUCCCAUGUCCUGCCACUUUGCGUGUCUAGUGAUUUGUGGUUGUGUCCUGCACAUUGUGACCGGUACGUUGUAGGGGCUCUGUUGGGUUCACUUUCAGAGCAUUCAUUUUUUUUUUUUGUUUGUUUGUUUUAUUGAGGGGUUAGCGGAACUGGACUCUAACCGUGAACAGUCUCCGCUUUGCAUAAAAUCUCUGUGCUGUCAACAGAGCUGCUCGGAGUCUGUCCUGUGCAAACACACCUCACAGAUCAGCCAGGAAUUGAGCAGAACCCAUCAUGAACAUUCGGGGCUCCCUUCCUGGGGUCGUACCUCCCUUUCCAAUUGCGGCAGUCACCCCCAACACCGUCCUCUGAUUCUUCAAGCAGGCAAGCCUGCCCUCGGACACAGAGGCACAAACAUGGGACGCUCACCCAGCGAGCACGGACUCCUGAGUGUCUGUGUCCUCCAGCGUCGGUCUGGGUUUGGCUCUCCUCCACUCUGUUGGACAGUUGUCCUUACAUCCAGUGACUGUGGAUGUCCCCACACUGGAGCUGGUCCAGUUGGAGCCACUUGGCCAUUGCUGGGAGCAGCCCUCGGGCUGCUGGGAUGGAGGAGGUCUGGGUCCCACAGCACAGUCAGGAAGGACGAGCUGGAUUGCAGUGUUAUUUGGUGUGACUCGGUCUUGCUCUGGCUAGCUGUGGUCUGGUCUCACCAGAGAGAGCUGGCAAGGCCCAGCCUCUCACUGGAUACCACACCAAGAUUUCCCUGCACCACAUGUUUUGGGGUAGGUGGAGCCAACGGUGUGUCCGAGGACCCUGAAGCCUCUGGUUUUGUCGCCGCUGUCCCUGUGGCUGUGGGAAGCUCCUCUGGGUUCUGUUCCUGUCACUGUGGCUCCCCAUCUGGACCAGUCCGGUCUUUGGCCCAGUGCUGGCACUGACGAACACCCUGGGCAGCAGGAUGGCCACGCUUGUUGGCUGUGUGGGUGUCCUCUCUUGGGGCUGGGUCUCCACAGCCCCGCAGCUCUCUGAGACGUAGCUGUGAGGCCCUAGUGUGCGGCCCCCCUUGGUCGCCAACAGGAGUGAUGUCUCCCACGGGGGACCCACCCCUUCCGGCCCCUCCAGGCCCAGCACCGCCAGCCUCCCCAGGAAUAAAGACCAAUGAGAGGCGGGACCAGAAAGUCUAUUGAAAUCACUGCUUUCCACAUGGCAUUAAAAAAAAAUUUCAAAUUUUAAAACAUGAGUGCAUUUUGUCCCAGGGAUACCAAUCCUGGGACUUAGGUCAAGAGGAAGAUUUAGCAUAUACACAGGCUUCGAGCUCCUGGUGUGGAUGGCAGUUUACCACGUCGGAAGGAAAACCCCAGAAACAGUGAAUUCUCAAUGAGACAUAGUGAGAGACGGAACACAAGCAGGGGGAGCAGGAGAGGGCAGGCUCCCACGGAGCAGGGAGCCCCACGCGGGGCUCGAUCCCGGGACCUGAGCGGACAACCAGCUGAGCCAGUCGGGUUUCCCUACUUCCUAAGUCUUUCGUGGACUGGGUUUCUGAGGUACGGUUUGUGUGCAGUGAAGCGUAUGGCCGAAGCGUGCAGGACGAUGAGGCUGACAGACAGAGCCGUGGGACCCACACCCAGAACAGGACGGGAGAAUGUCCACCUCUUCACGGCCUCCUCCGGGCGGCUCUCUGGUCUCCAGGGUGUCGUGGAGAGGACAGAGGAACGUUUCCAGGCGAACAGACAGACGCAGGGUUCUAAGAGGCGAGCCCGGCUCCCUCAGUUGCAGAGGCGGGGCCCAGGGGAGGGGGCCCAGGUGGAAAUCCAGGCCCUGCUCCAGGGGCUCCACAGCAGCCCAGCCGCCGCGGGGAGCGCUCGGCUGCCCGAAGCUGCCCUUCCUCUAGCAGAGGCCUCUGUCCUGGGACGUCCCUGCCCGCAAUGUGGUGGGAGGGCGAAGGGGCCGCACUCCAGGUGGGGACACACGGUGUUGGGCAUUCUCGGGACCCAGCCGGGCUCCGUGGCUGUGGGUGACGCGGCACCGCGGCAAGGAUGGAUUUGGGGAACCAGAACAACCCAGCCAGAGCCCGUGGGAAGCCUGGGGCACCGAGGUUCUUGAACAGGGUGGCUUGCGGGAGGAGCGGGGCGCCGGGAGGCAGGGAGGGGCGAGUGGGGGGGGCCGGCCCCAGGGCGAGGCUGGAGGGGUGGACGCACCUGCGGGUAGGAGGGCUGUUGGGAGCAGGUCGGCAGUGGCUCCGGCAAGCACCCCCACCCGCCGCCUCCAGGCCCAGGGUCAGCAGUUCGGGGCCGUGGUGGGUGGGACCGGGGCUGAAGGCGACACGCCCGCCAGGGGGCUUGCUAGGAGCACCUACGGGGGAGACGCUUCUGACACCAGGUCCCGCGCCCCAGCCGGGUGUCCUACGAGCGCCCCCAGUUCUGUCACGCCCACGGGAGCCGGCCUCCAACGGGCGAGGGAGCAGAAGGCCAGUGGAGGACAAAGCACCAGUGGACCCCCUCCCGCCCCGGGACCCCCCUCCGCCCGCCGGCAGAUGGGACAGUGGGACGUUCCCAGGCGCUCCUGCUGCGAAUGGCUCCCGGACAGAGAUCUCAGUCCCCCAGGACGGGAGUCUCCCUCACGCACCAUCGCCUCAGCGGUUUCCACGGGAAAAGCCUCCUUAGCAAUAGCCUAAGACCCAGAGACCCACAGCUCAGUUUCCUGGAGCCCCGACCCCCCACCCCUGCAGGAAGCUCCCACUGACUCAACGUCGUGCUUUGCUGGAGGGCACCGUGGCCGGGCCUCCCGUCUCCCCAGAGUCCUCUUGAGCGGAUCAAAGUCCUUUCGGACGGCUCCCGUGCCCGGACCGCCCCCAGCGCCCACGCGGAUCAUCAGCCCCGCUCACAGCCCCCGCGCCCUUGCCCUCUCUGUCCACGGGGCCUGUCCUGUGCUUGCAUAAAAUCACCUUCUUGCACUAAAGAUGUCUCCAGAAUUCUUUCUUGGCCGUGGGCUCCGGCCCUCAGCCGCAUCCCCUACUGCAUUAAGAUCCGGCAGGUGAGCGCUCUGUCCGUCUCAACGGCUCCUCCCCACUGAAGAUGCCGGUGGCCGUGGCCCCGAUCACCUGUGCUUCUGACCCCCUGACUACGGACGCGACUCAGGAAACACUACAACUCAACUGUGAACACAACCCGCAGAGGUGUGUAGGGCGAGGGCGGGGAAGAGGUGGAGUCCCCGUGCCCUGAGCUCAGCACUCUCCCCGAGUCUCCAACAGUUCGACAGCUGGAAGCUCUUGGACCCCAACCCCGUCCUUUUUGGCUUUUUACAAAUGCUUCCUUAGGCAGACACGAUUGCUCACAUCAUUGGCCGUUGGUGAUGGAUUGGACCCCCCGGCCCGUCUCCCCUCCCAGAGGUCGGGGGUGAGACCGGGUGUCCCAGCCCCGGCCGGGUCCCUGGCCGCCAGCCUCGCCCCAAGGGCUUUCCAACGUCGCCUCAUCAUGGCACAGCAGACACGUUGAGGGCCCACCCCACUACGCCGACCUGCGCUUCUUGGGACAGACGGCGGGUGGCGGAGUGGGGGGCACAUCGCCGGGCCCCCCCCAGGCUCUGAGGAAGUACGACGAGGCCGGGCAGCUGGCCAGGACGAGGCAGGGCGCGCCUUCUUGGGCCAGGUUCGCAGAGGCUCCGGGACCAUGGCCCGGGCAGGAAAGACCGCCGCCUCCGACGCGCACUGUGUGGACCGGGCGCAGACGGGCCGCGGAGGGACGAGCAGGAAGACACAGAACCAAGCCCAGCCCGCGGGCACCUGUGUGGAAGCGGGAGAGGAGCGCCCUGUCUGUGCGGUGCCCGCGGGUCCCACCCCAGGGGCCCGGGAUCCAGCCCUGCCUUGUGCUCCCCGCUCAGCGGGAGCCUGCUUGUCCCUCUGCCCUCUCCCUGCUCGUGUGCUCUUGAGAUCUCACUCAAAGUAAUAAAUAAAAGUCUUUAAAAAAA